UAAAACGUAGGAGGCAAGCGUUAUCCGGAGUUACUGGGCGUAAAGAGCGCGCAGGCGGUUCGAUAAGUGGGUCGUGAAAGCUCCCGGCUAAACUGGGAGAGGACGAUUCAGACUGUCGGGCUAGAGGAUGGUAGAGGGGCGUGGAAUUCCGGGUGUAGCGGUGAAAUGUGUAGAGAUCCGGAGGAACACCAGUGGUGCAGACGGCGCCCUGGGCCACACCUGACGCUGAGGCGCGAAAGCUUGGGGAGCGAACGGGAUUAGAGACCCCGGUAGUCCAAGCCGUAAACGAUGCCGACUAGGUGUUCACUACUCGAGAGAGUAGGGAGUGCCGAAGCCAACGCGAUAAGUCGGCCGCCUGGGGAGUACGGUCGCAAGGCUAAAACUUAAAUGAAUUGACGG
rnacentral:rRNA from 1 species